UGGGGAAUAUUGGACAAUGGGCGAAAGCCUGAUCCAGCCAUGCCGCGUGAGUGACGAAGGCCUUAGGGUUGUAAAGCUCUUUUGGCGGGGACGAUAAUGACGGUACCCGCAGAAUAAGCCCCGGCUAACUUCGUGCCAGCAGCCGCGGUAAUACGAAGGGGGCUAGCGUUGUUCGGAAUCACUGGGCGUAAAGCGCACGUAGGCGGACUGGUCAGUUGGGGGUGAAAUCCCGGGGCUCAACCCCGGAACUGCCUUCAAUACUGCCAGUCUUGAGUCCGAGAGAGGUGAGUGGAAUUCCUAGUGUAGAGGUGAAAUUCGUAGAUAUUAGGAAGAACACCAGUGGCGAAGGCGGCUCACUGGCUCGGUACUGACGCUGAGGUGCGAAAGCGUGGGGAGCAAACAGG
rnacentral:rRNA from 1 species